rnacentral:rRNA from 1 species
UACGAAGGGGGCUAGCGUUGUUCGGAAUCACUGGGCGUAAAGCGCGCGUAGGCGGAUUGUUAAGUCAGGGGUGAAAUUCCGAGGCUCAACCUCGGAACUGCCUUUGAUACUGGCGAUCUAGAGUCCGGGAGAGGUGAGUGGAACUCCUAGUGUAGAGGUGAAAUUCGUAGAUAUUAGGAAGAACACCAGUGGCGAAGGCGGCUCACUGGCCCGGUACUGACGCUGAUGUGCGAAAGCGUGGGGAGCAAACAGG